rnacentral:rRNA from 1 species
GUAGGGUGCAAGCGUUAAUCGGGAAUUACUGGGGCGUAAAGCGUGCGCAGGCGGUUGUGCAAGACAGAUGUGAAAUCCCCGGGGCUCAACCUGGGAAUUGCAUUUGUGACUGCACGGCUAGAGUGUGUCAGAGGGGGGUAGAAUUCCACGUGUAGCAGUGAAAUGCGUAGAGAUGUGGAGGAAUACCGAUGGCGAAGGCAGCCCCCUGGGAUAACACUGACGCUCAUGCACGAAAGCGUGGGGAGCAAACAGGAUUAGAUACCCUGGUAGUCCACGCCCUAAACGAUGUCAACUAGUUGUCGGGUCUUAAUUGACUUGGUAACGCAGCUAACGCGUGAAGUUGACCGCCUGGGGAGUACGGUCGCAAGAUUA